rnacentral:rRNA from 1 species
AAAUUGAAGAGUUUGAUCAUGGCUCAGAUUGAACGCUGGCGGCAGGCCUAACACAUGCAAGUCGAACGGUAACAGGAAGCAGCUUGCUGCUUUGCUGACGAGUGGCGGACGGGUGAGUAAUGUCUGGGAAACUGCCUGAUGGAGGGGGAUAACUACUGGAAACGGUGGCUAAUACCGCAUAACGUCGCAAGACCAAAGAGGGGGACCUUCGGGCCUCUUGCCAUCAGAUGUGCCCAGAUGGGAUUAGCUAGUUGGUGAGGUAACGGCUCACCAAGGCGACGAUCCCUAGCUGGUCUGAGAGGAUGACCAGCCACACUGGAACUGAGACACGGUCCAGACUCCUACGGGAGGCAGCAGUGGGGAAUAUUGCACAAUGGGCGCAAGCCUGAUGCAGCCAUGCCGCGUGUAUGAAGAAGGCCUUCGGGUUGUAAAGUACUU